rnacentral:lncRNA from 1 species
AGCCCACCGCUGUCCUCCUGCCUGCAGAAGUGGCUCUGUGAGCCGUUUGAGGAGAAAAUGGGGGACUUUGGGCUUCAGCCCGAGGAGAACACGGUGGAGAUGGAGGAGCCCCUGGGCGUCCGCAGGUUAACUGAAAACAUGAGAGGACACAAGCACGGGACCAAGUCUGUCACUAACCUGUAAAGUACUCUCACCAAGCCGACCGGGCACUUUGUCUGAGCGCCUGCCUUUGCCACCACUGUGUGCAGGAAUGCCUGGGUCAUGACUGGGCCAUCCCAGUGUUCUUAUUUCUAUACAUUCCGAGGUUACCCCUCAGCAAAACGCCAGAGGCUGGCAGACACAGCGGAGCAUCCUGCAGUAGGGAUCCGAAGCCGUGGAAUCUCCAAAGGACCACUUGACCGCGUCCCAGAAGCUCCAGCUCAGGCUGGACAUUGCCCAGAAAGCCCACAUCGUCUUUGGC